rnacentral:tRNA from 1 species
GAGGGUAUAGCUCAAGUGGUAGAGCACAUGCUUAGCAUGCACGAGGCCCUGGGUUCAAUCCCCAGUACCUCCU